rnacentral:rRNA from 1 species
AACGCUAGCUACAGGCUUAACACAUGCAAGUCGCGGGGCAGCAUUUCUUUAGCUUGCUAAGGAAGAUGGCGACCGGCGCACGGGUGAGUAACGCGUAUCCAACCUUCCCUUGUCCACGGGAUAGCCCGUCGAAAGGCGGAUUAAUACCGUAUGAGGUCACAUGCUGGCAUCAAGAUGUGACGAAAGGUUUGGCGGACAAGGAUGGGGAUGCGUCCGAUUAGGUAGUCGGCGGGGUAACGGCCCACCGAGCCGACGAUCGGUAGGGGUUCUGAGAGGAAGGUCCCCCACAUUGGAACUGAGACACGGUCCAAACUCCUACGGGAGGCAGCAGUGAGGAAUAUUGGUCAAUGGGCGUAAGCCUGAACCAGCCAAGUCGCGUGAGGGAAGACGGUCCUAUGGAUUGUAAACCUCUUUUGCCGGGGAGCAAGCCGGGUCUGCGGACCCGAGUUGAGAGUACCCGGAGAAAAAGCAUCGGCUAACUCCGUGCCAGCAGCCGCGGUAAUACGGAGGAUGCGAGCGUUAUCCGGAUUUAUUGGGUUUAAAGGGUGCGUAGGCGGAUUGUUAAGUCAGUGGUCAAAACGGGAGGCUCAACCUUCUGUCGCCAUUGAAACUGGCAGUCUUGAGUGAGCGAGAAGUAUGCGGAAUGCGUGGUGUAGCGGUGAAAUGCAUAGAUAUCACGAAGAACUCCGAUUG